GUUUAGGGUACAUGGGUCCGAGAAUUAAGGAGAUUUUGUUCUUAAACAAUGAGUUAAAUGGUUGUAUACCAGAAGGUGUGGGAUUAUGGACGGAUUUGCAAGUAUUAGAUGUAAGUUUCAAUUCACUGAUGGGGCAUUUGCCUGAUACCCUUUCUUGUUUGAGUGGCAUUGAGGUUCUCAACUUGGGACAUAACAAGUUAUCUGGAGAUUUACCAGACUUGGUUUGUUCACUAAGAAACCUUGUGAAUUUGACUCUUGCUUACAAUUUCUUCUCUGAGUUGAGCCAAGAUUGUGACAAACUUCCAUUGAGAAAUGUGGGUAUUGAUUUCUCAUUGAACUGUAUUCCAGGAAGACAAAUGCAAAGGCCUCAACCUGAGUGCUCUGUCAUUCCAGGUG
rnacentral:misc_RNA from 1 species